rnacentral:rRNA from 1 species
UACGGAGGGUGCAAGCAUUGAUCGGAAUUAUUGGGCGUAAAGGGCGCGUAGGCGGUAUAGAAAGUCAGAUGUGAAAUUCCGGGGCUCAACCCCGGAGCUGCAUUUGAAACUACUAAGCUAGAGUUCAGUUAGGGUAAACGGAAUUCCACGUGUAGCGGUGAAAUGCGUAGAUAUGUGGAAGAACACCAGUGGUGAAGACGGUUUACUGGGCUGAUACUGACGCUGAGGCGCGAAAGCAUGGGGAGCAAACAGG